GGGUGAGUGGCUCAGUGGUUACAGUCUAGGGCCUGGGAGCGAAAGGUCCCGCGUUCGAAUCUCGCAAUAGGCA
rnacentral:tRNA from 1 species